AUCUAUUCGACAUCGACAUUCCUAAUAAGAUUACUUUUCGAGAGAGUGAUUCACUCAGUCCUGGUAACUCCCUAACGACGUUCGAUGUGAAGGGCUGCAAAAUAGGUAUUGGCAUUUGCUAUGAUAUUAGAUUCGAGGAAAUGGCACGCAUUUAUCGGAACAAAGGUUGCCAAAUGCUGAUAUAUCCAGCGGCAUUCAAUAUGACCACUGGACCGCUGCACUGGUCAUUACUUCAGCGUUUCAGAGCGAAUGAUAAUCAAUUAUACGUUGCCUGCAUAUCACCGGCUCGUGUUCCUUAAGCAAGUUACGUAGCAUGGGGACAUACACAGUUGACCAAUCCCUGGGGAAAGAUUCUUUACGAUUUGGAAACUCAAGAGAAUAUGGCAGUCACCGAUAUCGAUCUAAAAGUUGUUGAGGAAGUAAGGGCUCAGAUACCUA